UUUAUGGAGAGUUUGAUCCUGGCUCAGGAUGAACGCUGGCGGCGUGCCUAAUACAUGCAAGUCGAGCGAACGGACGAGAAGCUUGCUUCUCUGAUGUUAGCGGCGGACGGGUGAGUAACACGUGGAUAACCUACCUAUAAGACUGGGAUAACUUCGGGAAACCGGAGCUAAUACCGGAUAAUAUUUUGAACCGCAUGGUUCAAAAGUGAAAGACGGUCUUGCUGUCACUUAUAGAUGGAUCCGCGCUGCAUUAGCUAGUUGGUAAGGUAACGGCUUACCAAGGCAACGAUGCAUAGCCGACCUGAGAGGGUGAUCGGCCACACUGGAACUGAGACACGGUCCAGACUCCUACGGGAGGCAGCAGUAGGGAAUCUUCCGCAAUGGGCGAAAGCCUGACGGAGCAACGCCGCGUGA
rnacentral:rRNA from 1 species